GUGUAUGUUGUACCCGUACCGUAAACCGACACAGGUGGAUGAGGAGAGAAUCCUAAGGCCGACGGGAGAAGCAUUGUUAAGGAACUCGGCAAAAUGACCCCGUAACUUCGGGAGAAGGGGUGCCACCGCGAGGUGGCCGCAGAGAAUAGGCUCAAGCAACUGUUUAGCAAAAACACAGGUCUAUGCGAAACCGAAAGGUGAGGUAUAUGGGCUGACGCCUGCCCGGUGCUGGAAGGUUAAGAGGAGAUGUCAGCGCAAGCGAAGCAUUGAAUUUAAGCCCCAGUAAACGGCGGCCGUAACUAUAACGGUCCUAAGGUAGCGAAAUUCCUUGUCGGGUAAGUUCCGACCCGCACGAAAGGCGUAAUGAUUUGAGCACUGUCUCGACAAUGCACCCGGUGAAAUUGAAGUACCAGUGAAGAUGCUGGUUACCUGCGCCAGGACGGAAAGACCCCAUGGAGCUUUACUCCAGUUUGAUACUGGGAUUCGAUGCUGAAUGUACAGGAUAGGUGGGAGGCUAAGAAAUAGGGACGCCAGUCUCUAUGGAGCCGCUGUUGGGAUACCACCCUUUGAGUAUUGGAUUUCUAACCUGCAGCCGUGACCCGGCUGGGGGACAAUGUCUGACGGGGAGUUUGACUGGGGCGGUCGCCUCCGAAAGGGUAUCGGAGGCGCUCAAAGGUUCCCUCAGAAUGGUUGGAAACCAUUCGAAGAGUGCAAAGGCAGAAGGGAGCUUGACUGCGACACCGACGGGUGGAGCAGGUACGAAAGUAGGACUUAGUGAUCCGGUGGUAUAAAGUGGGAUUGCCAUCGCUCAACGGAUAAAAGCUACCCUGGGGAUAACAGGCUGAUCACUCCCAAGAGUUCACAUCGACGGAGUGGUUUGGCACCUCGAUGUCGGCUCAUCGCAUCCUGGGGCUGUAGCAGGUCCCAAGGGUUGGGCUGUUCGCCCAUUAAAGCGGUACGCGAGCUGGGUUCAGAACGUCGUGAGACAGUUCGGUCCCUAUCCGGCGCAGGCGGAGGAUAUUUGAGAGGAGCUGUCCUUAGUACGAGAGGACCGGGAUGGACGGACCACUGGUGUAUCUGUUAGGUAUCAGACCUAUGGCAGAGUAGCCAAGUCCGGCAGGGAUAAACGCUGAAGGCAUCUAAGCGUGAAGCCCCCCUCAAGAUGAGAUAUCCCAACAAAUGUUGUAAGACCCCUUAGAGAGUAUGAGGUAGAUAGGAAAGAGGUGUAAGCACAGUAAUGUGUUCAGCUGACUUUUACUAAUCGGUCGAGGGCUUAUCCAG
rnacentral:rRNA from 1 species